rnacentral:rRNA from 1 species
AAUGUCAUAGAUUAGAUAUAUAAGUUUAUUCUAUAAAUGAAAGUGUAAGCAUUCCACCUCAUGAGUAAUUUGGCAACAUUGGAACUGAAAUCAUUAGACNGUUUNUGAAACCAGUAGUGAAGUAUGUUGUUUAAUUUGAUGAUCCGCAAAAAACCUUACCACAAUUUGAAUAUNUAUAUUAUUUAUUGNUUUAUUAUUAAUUUUCUUCUAAUAUAAUUUUUUAAUUAAUUAAUUAAAAAAUGAUA